rnacentral:rRNA from 1 species
CGCGUAGGUGGUUCGUUAAGUUGGAUGUGAAAUCCCCGGGCUCAACCUGGGAACUGCAUCCAAAACUGGCGAGCUAGAGUAGGGCAGAGGGUGGUGGAAUUUCCUGUGUAGCGGUGAAAUGCGUAGAUAUAGGAAGGAACACCAGUGGCGAAGGCGACCACCUGGGCUCAUACUGACACUGAGGUGCGAAAGCGUGGGGAGCAAACA